rnacentral:lncRNA from 1 species
UAAUCAACACAAUAGCACACAUACAUUAAUUUUAUUUAUUAAUUUCUUCUUUUAGGAAGAUAAAGAGUACAUGAAAAGGAGCAAAGAAAAUUCUUUAUAUCUCUCAAAAAAUCUUAUUGGUUGCAAUUAAACUAAAUUGAUACUCACACAAUUGAUAGGUCAUCAUAUACCUAUCUUUUUAUUUAAUUUUAAAAAAAUAUUUCAUGCACUUUAACCGAUGUAGUCGGGCUUUCUUCCGUGUUGAGGAACAACAAAAAAAUCAAGAUUAUCAUUUGUAGCAUCAUCAUCAGCAAUACUCGAACGUACAUCUAAUAUGUGCCCCUCUGACCAAUUCCUCUUGUCUGAAAAAUUCAUAUUGAAAAACUUAAUCAUAAAUGCAUAAGUUAAAACAAGAAUUAUAAACAAUAUUUAACUGAAGUUGGCCAAAAUACCCGCGCAGGGAGUCUCCAUAUUCUUCAAAUUAAUCAGAAAAGAUCUCUCUAGCUUCCGGUGAACCGUUAUGAAAACACAAAAGUAAUUAAGUUGCUUUAGCGAGUUCUAGCGUUUGAUAUUUAUAGAAUGAAGCAACCAACUGUAGAUUCAAAAAAUAAAUCUUUACAAAUAUUGCCAACA